AGGACGAACGCUGGCGGCGUGCUUAACACAUGCAAGUCGAGCGGUAAGGCUCCUUCGGGAGUACACGAGCGGCGAACGGGUGAGUAACACGUGGGUAAUCUGCCCUUCACUUCGGGAUAACCGCCGGAAACGGUGGCUAAUACCGGAUACGACGCGCUUUCGCAUGAGAUGCGCGUGGAAAGUUUUCUCGGUGAGGGAUGUGCUCGCGGCCUAUCAGCUUGUUGGUGAGGUAACGGCUCACCAAGGCUUCGACGGGUAGCCGG
rnacentral:rRNA from 1 species